rnacentral:rRNA from 1 species
UAAGACAGAGGGUGCAAGCGUUGUUCGGAAUUACUGGGCGUAAAGCGCGCGUAGGUGGUUUUGUGUGUCUGGCGUGAAAUCCCUUGGCUCAACCAAGGAAGUGCACCAGAAACUGCAGAACUCGAGUUCGGGAGAGGAUGGUGGAAUUCUCAAUGUAGAGGUGAAAUUCGUAGAUAUUGGGAGGAACACCGGUGGCGAAGGCGACCAUCUGGACCGACACUGACACUGAUGUGCGAAAGCGUGGGUAGCAAACAGGAUUAGAUACCCUGGUAGUCCACGCCGUAAACGAUGAUAACUAGGUGUAGGGGGUAUUGACCCCCUCUGUACCGAAGCUAACGCAUUAAGUUAUCCGCCUGGGGAGUACGGUCGCAAGAUUA